rnacentral:rRNA from 1 species
UACGUAGGGUGCAAGCGUUGUCCGGAAUUAUUGGGCGUAAAGAGCUCGUAGGCGGUCUGUCACGUCGGCUGUGAAAUCCCGAGGCUCAACCUCGGGUCUGCAGUCGAUACGGGCAAACUAGAGUAUUGCAGGGGAGAAUGGAAUUCCCGGUGUAGCGGUGAAAUGCGCAGAUAUCGGGAGGAACACCGGUGGCGAAGGCGGUUCUCUGGGACGUUACUGACGCUGAGACGCGAAAGCGUGGGGAGCAAACAGG